UGUGCUCUGAUGAAAUUUUACAUUCUGACACCUCAUAUGAACCACUGUGAUUCAUUCUAUUUGUAAUUAACUACUGAAAAU
rfam:Drosophila virilis strain TSC#15010-1051.87 Ctg01_14793, whole genome shotgun sequence.